ensembl:lncRNA
AUUAACUCCAGCCGACCACUCGAGGCAUCCCGGUGCUGUGAGCGGCGCGUGCAGCACCGCUGUCACGGUGCGCCUCCGAGCCCGAACCGACCACUGGUGCCUAGUAGAGGCACUCAGUUCACAGCGCCGCAAUGCCUUGCUCUAAAGUCAGGGGCUUUCAUAGGACGGAUUUAACCCUCCUCUAUUGACUCGCGCAUUCUGCAAUGUGAAUUCAGGGAUCAGCACUUUACAGAAAUCUUGCAUUUGUAAGGAUGUGUCUUCUAAAGCAAGUCUCACGGAGGGAUGUAGAGAUGCUGCUGAACGACCGCUCUUCUUAACUAUCUCCUCCCGGCUCCAGGGGUCUCCAUCAGACCAUGAAGCCAGAGUCCCGCAGAGAGGAUGAUCCGGACGUCUAGUUUCUCGGGAGACACCUGGCUCUCCUACCGCUACCCCCCGGGUGCAGCUCCCCGCCUGGCAGCCCCCGGUCCAGACCCUGUGCCCCCCAGGGCCGUCGCCCCCCGGGCGGCCCGGCGCGUGCUCCGCGGGUCAGCUGAUCCGGGCCGUCUCCCUGCCCGAGCAGGACGUCCUCCGCAGAGAGCUGCCCGUCGCCCCGGGCAAACAGAAGCGACUCGACUCCUGCAGCUACUGGAGUCUCAAAGAGGACCGGGCGGAGGAGGAGGAGGAGGAGGAGGAG